UCAGAGAUGUCAACGGUACAUCGACACUGAUUGCAGUGGAGAAAAGUGGAGUGUCGGCGAGGGAAAAGCCGAGAAUGCUAGCCCGGCUUCCUUGCGCUGCGAGUACUACGAGAGGCGCUACACAAUGUCAAAGCAGUGUUAUGACUCGAGGCAGUCACUUAGACCGCUUGGUAACAAACACAAACAACCGGUUUCAAGUGACGUUUUAUUAUACCAACAAGACGGGCCUAAUUCUUCCUCAUACAACGACGUUUGGCAUGCAAAUAUCCACAAUACCUAGUGCAUACACGCAAUUACUCCGGAGAAGCUUCCUUAAUGGAGUCUCAACAGACGCUGACUUUCACCGCAAUCAGCCAAUCACGGCGCAGCAUCCCGCUGGCUCUGACGUCGGUAAUCUCUCUGCCCCGCCCACUCCAAUGAAAGCGAACGGGACCGGUCUCGGCUGACGUCACUUCACCGGCAGACGAUUGGGCAGGCAGUGGUGCUGGAGAAAAAAACGGUGUGCUGAGAACUGACUGAAAGAUGUGCAUGCUUGAGAUGAUGGCACGUGCGUGAGACAGGCACCUGCACGUCGGAUAACUUUGAUAUAUAUCAUCUCAUCUGUAUAGUGAAUAGAAGAAGAGAAAGCACACUAUCUCGAUAUAUUGCCAUAAUAGUAAACAUUACAUAAUCCACUGUUCUGUGUGUAGUAGAAAACCAGACAGGCUGAGACAGACGGCCAUGCGGGAUCUCACAUGAGCAGCGCCCCCUGUUGGUGUGAUUUGAUGCAUGGAUGCUGAUCUCUCACUCAAGCUCAAUGAUGGGAGAGAAGAGAUAGAGAUAAAGUUCUGAUUUGCAGAAGGAAGCUGUAUAUUUGGUAAGAAUAUGUUUACCACGUAUGUGUGCUUGCCUGUGUUUGUGCAUGUAUGUGUUGAGAGAGGAGGAAAGACAUGGAGGAUGGAGAGGCUUGAUGUUGAUUAAAUGUUGAUGUAGAGUGACAUCUAGUUGUAAUUGUUAAGCACUGCAACUUACAUGUUUUAAUAGUGAACAAUUUGUCCACACAAAGUUAAAUGAGGUACUGUGUUUUACUCAGGAUGCCAUUAAAAUCAAUUUCCAAACUGGGAAAUAUCCCAGGGGUCAUCUUCACGUAGCUCCCAGGUCCCUCAGAUCCUCCAGCCAAGGCCUCCUCCAUGUCCCACGGUCCCGGCUUAAGCAAAAAGGUGACAGAGCCUUUUCUGUUGCUGGCCCUCAGUUGUGGAACCGACGGCCACCUGACAUCAGAAAUGCCCCUUCAAUUGUGAUAUUCAAAGCCAGGCUCAAAACUCAUCUUUUUACAUUGGCCUUCCCGGCAUUUUAAUUGUCUUAUCCUGCUAUGUUUGUAAUUAAGUGCUUGUCUUCAAUGUCCUUUUUAGCCUAAAUCACUGAUUUGUACGUGUGUUUUAUUUUUAUUUUAUUACUCUGUGGCUAAUGCGCUAUGUACAGCACUUUGGUCAGCACGAGCUGUUUUUAAAUGUGCUAUAGAAAUAAACUUUACUUACUUACUUACAAGACAUUUUUAGUCAUUAUGAGUCAUGAGUAGACAUUGCUUCUCUUUCAUUAUAGCGUCACAAGCCAAUAAGGUUGGGAACCAACUACUACACUAAAACAUUUCAAUCAGAACAUGUGUCUUUGCAAGCUUUUUACUACAUAGAUCUCUAUCGUUCUCUUGUCAUCUAUGUCUGUCCUCUAUCCCAAAAUCUCUUUUGAGGAGCUCUGGAGGGAGACAGUAUC